rnacentral:rRNA from 1 species
GACAGAGGGUGCAAACGUUGUUCGGAAUUACUGGGCGUAAAGCGCGUGUAGGCUGCUUCGAAAGUCGGAUGUGAAAGCCCUGGGCUCAACCUAGGAAGUGCAUUCGAAACUUCGAAGCUUGAGUUCUGGAGAGGAAGGCGGAAUUCCCAGUGUAGCGGUGAAAUGCGUAGAUAUUGGGAGGAACACCAGUGGCGAAGGCGGCUCACUGGACCGGUUCUGACGCUGAUGCGCGAAAGCGUGGGGAGCAAACGGG